rnacentral:rRNA from 1 species
AACGCGAAGAACCUUACCCAGGCUCGAACGGCGAGUGACAUCCCACGAAAGUGGGCUUCCGCAAGGACACUCGUCGAGGUGCUGCAUGGCUGUCGUCAGCUCGUGUCGUGAGAUGUUGGGUUAAGUCCCGCAACGAGCGCAACCCUUGUCCGCUGUUGCCAUCACGUUAUGGUGGGCACUCUGCGGAGACUGCCGGUGAUAAACCGGAGGAAGGUGGGGAUGACGUCAAGUCAGCACGGCCUUUAUGUCUGGGGCUACACACGUGCUACAAUGGCCGACACAAACCGUCGCGAUCCCGCGAGGGGGAGCUAAUCGGAGAAAGCCGGUCUCAGUUCGGAUUGCAGGCUGCAACUCGCCUGCAUGAAGUUGGAAUCGCUAGUAAUCGCGGAUCAGCACGCCGCGGUGAAUACGUUCCCGGGCCUUGUACACACCG